CUCUAGUUAGCUAAAUUUAAAGUGUUGGACUCUUAAUCUAAUUAUGUCAGUUAAAAUCUGUCACUGGGGA
rnacentral:tRNA from 1 species